GAUGAACGCUGGCGGCGUGCCUAAUACAUGCAAGUCGAGCGAACAGACGAGGAUCUUGCUCCUCUGACGUUAGCGGCGGACGGAUGUGUAACACGCGUAUAACACACCUAUAAGACUGGGAGAACUCCGGGAAACAGGAGCUAAUAUCGGAUAAUAUAUUGAAGCGUAGGGUUCAUUAGUGAAUGACGGUUUUGCUGUCACGUAUAGAUGUAUCCGCGCUGCAUUAGCUAGUUGGUAAGGUAACGGCUUACCAAGGCAACGAUGCGUAGCCGACCUGAGAGGGUGAUAGGCCACACUGGAACUGAAACGCGGUCCAGACUCCUACGCGAGGCAGCAGAAGGGAAUCUUCAGCAAUGGGCGGAAGCCUGACGGAGCAACGCCGCGUGAGUGAUAGAGGUCUUGGGAUCGUAAAACUCUGUUAUUAGGGAAGAACAAAUGUGUAAGUAACUAUGCACGUCUUGACGGUACCUAAGGAGAAAGCCACGGCUAACUACGUG
rnacentral:rRNA from 1 species